rnacentral:lncRNA from 1 species
CGAUUUAGAACCGCAAGCCGUAAGUCAUAGAAAGGACAAAAAUAGCGUUGAAUCCCUAAUUUGUCAUCAGUGGGCUUUUCUAAGUUAGAAAAAUAAUCGUGCUCAGUUGCUCACCCCUCGUCCUCCCCGCCCUUUGCAAAGCGGUGAGGCGGCAAGGCCGACCGAACGACAUCACGUGCGCCCUAUUCAGUGAUUCAUCUCGCUUCUUCCUUUUCUUCUUUUCAGAUCGAUGUCGCGCUUCUUCUCAUUUCUUAUUGUUCUUCUUCUCAGCUCGACGGAGAAGUCCGCCAACAAUCGAUGAAAAACAAGGUAAGUGUAGUUGUUCGAUCGGCACUUCCACUAUAUGUUAGUAUUGUAUAUUUGAUGGGUUUCCAGAAGUUUAUGUAGGUUUUUAUCUUUUUUGAGGAACUAAUUUUAAUUUUUAUUGCUUUUUCGCCUGGUAGAUAAAUCCUGGCAGACAGUGAGAAUCGACGGCUUGAAAAGAACAGUUCAAACAGGUUCUCCUUCUAUGCUGAUUUCUCCCUUGACCCAUACAACAACUCCGACAUUAGCUUCUCUGUCAACACAAAAUGUAAGUUAAGGUUGAUAGUUUGGUUUUUUUACUACUAAUUUGAGUUUUCUGUCAACUGUAUGCAUACUUUUAACAAGCACUGCAUUGUUGUGUUAUUUGGAUUAUAAAAGAAGAAUGGUGGAGGAAGAAAUGGUAAAUCAAGAAGUUCAAAGCUCAAAUAUGGAUGAAAUAGAGGUCGAAGCAGAUGAUGGUGGUUUAGUUUCAAGCCCAAGAAACGAUAAAGGAAAGAUAAGUGGUCGUGUAAGAUCAGUGGUUUGAAAUCACUUUAAGAGUAUAUAAAUCUCAAGUGGAGAAUGGAAAGUUAAAUGCAAUACUUGUGGAAAGAUGUACAUAUCCCAUUCACACACAAAUGAGACUUCAUGUCUUAGAGGUCAUGUAAGAUGAGGGUGUUUAAAACUAGGUAUUUCUAAAACACUCUCGAACAUAAUUAAAGUUAGAGGUGACGAUGGGAGAGAAUUGACUUGAGCAAUUAGAGCUUUGAUCAAACCACUAUAAGAAAAGCAUUUAUCUAUAUGAUUAUUAUUGAUGAGUGGCCCUUUAAGUUCGUUGUCAUCGAUUUUCAAUCCUUUCUCAAGUGGCAAAAGAUGUGUUGGUUGUCCCUAUUUUGACAGUAUCGUCAUAGUCCUCCUUUAGUACUGGCGGGAGAGUCCUUGAUGCAUUUAGGAGCUCUUUGACUCCUAGGAUCGUGGAGGCAUUGAUUUUCACUCAGGAAUGGCUUCGUGCAUACUCACACCGAGUUUCAGUUGAGGAAGAUCUAUUGGAUAUUGACAAAAUCGAUGAAGGUAUGAAGUUUUUUGUUUAAAAUGAACCUUAUAUUUGUAUACUUUUCUUAUGUCGAUAUCUUGUGAAUUUCAAAGUUGAAAGAUAUUUUCAGAAUCAUUGGGAUUAGUGACAUUUCAUUUCAUGCUUGUCAUGCUACUCCCACUCCUUCUCUAGUUCAUUUGUAGAACCAGAAAAUACUUAAGUGUGUAUAUUAAACUGACACCACUACCACUAUUUUCAUUUUUCUUUAGGACAGCUCAUUAUAUAUAUUGGAUCGACCUAAAUGAUGUGUUGUCCUCUCUUGACAACAACAGGUUCAUUCACAAGAACAUUCUUCAAGUGAUCAAGAUUCAAGUAGUUCUGGCUGAACAUAUAAUGGAUGACUGAUGUCUGAAGCAUGGACAUUUAUUUAUUCAUUUAUGAUGUCUUUAUUUCAUCAAUGGAUUAGUUAUAUGACAAUAAAAAUAACUUGGAAGUGAGAAUUGGUUAUGCAUAUCAAGUUGGUAAUUUGCAAAUGGAUUAUGAUUUUUGGAUAGCAGGUCUGUUUUGUAAUUAGUAUGCAGAUAUUUUCUCCUUGAUUUUCUUUGGGUUGGGAUAGGCAUAAGUUUUCUGAGCUAUGGCUGGGUUUUUCCUCAGGUUUUCGUUUUAAUGGUUUGCGGUUGAAAAUCGCACCAAAACUGCAAAAUAAUGGGUGCGGUUUGCGGUGAAAUAG